GUACACUCCUACGGGAGGCAGCAGUGGGGAAUUUUGGACAAUGGGCGAAAGCCUGAUCCAGCAAUGCCGCGUGAGUGAAGAAGGCCUUCGGGUUGUAAAGCUCUUUUGUCAGGGAAGAAACGGUGAAAGCUAAUAUCUUUUGCUAAUGACGGUACCUGAAGAAUAAGCACCGGCUAACUACGUGCCAGCAGCCGCGGUAAUACGUAGGGUGCAAGCGUUAAUCGGAAUUACUGGGCGUAAAGCGUGCGCAGGCGGUUUUGUAAGUCUGAUGUGAAAUCCCCGGGCUCAACCUGGGAAUUGCAUUGGAGACUGCAAGGCUAGAAUCUGGCAGAGGGGGGUAGAAUUCCACGUGUAGCAGUGAAAUGCGUAGAUAUGUGGAGGAACACCGAUGGCGAAGGCAGCCCCCUGGGUCAAGAUUGACGCUCAUGCACGAAAGCGUGGGGAGCAAACAGGAUUAGAUACCCUUGUAGUCCCAUG
rnacentral:rRNA from 1 species